GAGAGGACGACAAAGAAGUGCGUUCGGUGGCGUUCUUUCCUUUCGGGACGGCUUCUGAAACCAGGGAACAGCGUUUUCUUUCAAUUGCCAGUCGUGGAGAGAAGAGAGUCGAGUUCCGUCGGGGAAGCAGCCAGACGAGCCGCUGAUCCAGCUCCACUCGAAUGAGUCGUUCCAAGGCGACAACAGGAAGCGGCCGCCGACCGAAGCGAUAUUAACUGACGUUUGGGCGCCCACGCGGGAGCCUUGCUCACGGGAGUCGUGUCAGUCAAUGUAGAACCAGGGACUUCUACCACGUCAAGCACACGCUCCGAAGAUUGAGUGUCGGAAGUCCUACGGCGGGACCAAAGUCGAACGGAAACGAGGUCCGGCACCGCGACCAGCAGCGCUUCUGCCGUUUCGUCUGGUGUACCGUCCGGCAUCACGCCUGGACUUCCGCCCAGCGCUCUCAUGUUUUCGGGCACCGCGCCAAAGUCUCAGUCCUUGCCCGUCACGAACAAACCAAAGACCUCGGAUUUGAAAGAGCGCUUCGAGCCAAAAGGAAGGGAAGGAACGCUAACGCUGUUGCCAUUCUGCGGGUGCAUCCUGGUACCCCUGGUUUUGCUCAUCCUUCUCUUGCUCAUACUGACGGCUGCUUAUCCUACCCUACUUCACGUCUACGCUGAAACUCCUCGACCUACUGACGAUUCCGAGCGCACUCAGAAGCCGAAUC